rnacentral:rRNA from 1 species
CCCUUAGAUGUCCUGGGCUGCACGCGCGCUACACUGAUGUGUCCAGUAAGCACCUAACCUCUUCCGAAAGGAACGGGUAACCUUUGCAAAGCACAUCGUGAUGGGGAUAGAUUAUUGCAAUUAUUAGUCUUGAACGAGGAAUUCCUAGUAAGCACAAGUCAUCAGCUUGUGUUGAUUACGUCCCUGCCCUUUGUACACACCGCCCGUCGCUCCUACCGAUUGAAUGUUCAGGUGAGCCAUUCGGACUUUCAUCAUGCUGGUUUCCAGUUUUGAUGAAGGAAAGUCUUGCGAACCUUAUCAUUUAGAGGAAGGAGAAGUCGUAACA